AAACAAGCGUAAUAUAACACCUCAGUUAUAGAUAUGGUUUUGUUUGGUUUGGUUUUUUUGAGACAGGGUUUCUCUAUGUAUCCCUGCCUGUCCUGGAACUUACUAUGUAGACCAGGCUGGCCUUUUAACUCACAGAGAUCUGCCUCCCUCUGCCUCUUUAGUGCUGAGAUUAAAGGUGUGAGCCACCAUUGCCUGGACCCAUAUUAUGGUUUUAUGAAAGCAUUUAUAUGUAUGAAAAUUUAACUAUAUAUUUUAAAAGAUUUAUGUGCAUAGGUGUUUUGCAGGCAUGUAUAUCUGUGUACCACAUGUAUGCAGUACCUAUGGAGGCCAGAAGAGGGCGAUGAAUACUCUGGAACUGGAGUUGAUUGUGCUGAUGACCCCUUGUCCUCUUGCAGGGCAGUCAGUCAGUGCUUUUAACCACUGCACUAUUUCUCUGCCCCUCUGAGUGUAUUUUAGUUACAUUCACUGCAGUGAACAAUCUGCAUUAUUCAUCUUUUGACAGAUAUCAUUUUUUUCCUAAACGCAGCCUAGAUUUUCAAAGACAAGGUGGAUACUGACAUAAAAAGACAAAAAACAAAACAAAACUGGGCAUGGUGAUGCACACCUCAAAUCCCAGCACUCAGGGAGGCAGAGGCAGGCAGAUCUCUGAGUUCAAGGCCAGCCUGGUCUACAGAGUGAUGUUCAGGACAACCAGGGCUACACGGAGAAACCCUGUCUUGAAAACCAAGAAAGGGGGGUGGGCGAGGGGAGGGAAAGAGUCAGGCAGACGGACUGUGCAUUGCUCUCUGAGGACCUGAAUUUGGCUCUCAACACUAAAUCCUGGGGAUCAGAUGUGACCUCAAAACCACAUUCACUUAUGUUUACACUAUCUGUCCAUACACAUAUAAUUUUAAGAUAAUAAAGAUACAUCCUCCACCAAAAAAAAGAAAAAUCACAGAACUCUAUGAAAGUCAAACAAAAUGAAGCCUAAGAAAUAACGCAGAAUGAAGAGGGAGGAAGAAAGGAUUUGUCUGUUCUCCUUUUCCGUAGAUAAGAAAGUAUCAGAACUUUCUAGGAAGUGGCCAACCUUUGAACACACUCAGCAAUGGAGGGUAUCCAUCUGUGUUCAGGUGUGAGCUCUUCUUGGUGUCACUGAGCUCUGGCAUGAAGCACCCAGGGCUGCUCACUCUCCCUUGCAUGCUACCAUCUACUCCUCUGGGCUGGUCCCUAAAGAGACUGUAUGCAGCACAGGCAAGCCUAGGGCAGCCACUCUCCUCCCAAGGAAGGAGGAUUCCUGAGCAUUUGGGGCCAGCUGGGGAAGGGCAGUCUAGGUUUCAUAGCAAGGUCCCGGUUCAGAGAGUCAGAGAGAGAGAGAGAGAGAGAGAGAGAGAGAGAGAGAGAAAGGCAUUUGUGUGGGCUCUCCAUGCGUGCAUAGUUAGAACAGCAAACCCCUUUUCUGCUGAACAAAUACCUUAAAGAAACACACAAGCCCGCACUGUCAGAGGCAGGUGGGUCUCUGGGUUCAAGGCCAGCCUGGUCUACAGAACAAGUUUCAGGACAGCCAAGGCUACUGUACGAGACCUUGUCUCCAAACAAACAAACAAACAAACAAACCCUUGGAGGGAAGCAAGAGCGACAAGCUGCUUUUGGUGAACCAGGAGUCAACGGUGUCAGAGGCCAAGGCUGCCAGACCCUCUAGUGACUUUAUGAACCUCGAACACUGUCUCAGAUUAUCCCUGUUGUUUUACCAAUCUUUUUGCGUUAUAAGUGGCAGUCUUGGGGCAUCCCGGCAUCUGGGUGUCCACUUUGUCCUUUGAGGAGGCAGCAUGGUAAGGCCUCAUCUAUAAAAUACGUACACAGUGCACAGAUACCCAGUGCUCUCAGGAGCAGAGGGGAUGGAGAGGGGAUAAGAAAACCAUCUGCCACUGACCGUGAUGGAGUAUAACUUUAAGCCCAGCAUUUGGGAAGCAGAGGCAGGUAGAACUCUCUGUGAGUUCAAGGCCAGCCUGGUCUAUAAAGCAAGUUCCAGGACAGCCCAGAGCUGUUAUGCAGAGAAACCACAGGCUCGUCUUCCAUCGGCUUGUCCCAACAUGGCUGUGCAAUAGGCAGCAGAGAUUUACAUGUCUCCCUCCUGCCUGCGGACCCUGCAUCUAGCACAUGGCUCUGGGACAGUGCUAACUGGGUCCUAGGCUGGCUUGCUCUCCAGAGCUUCACUGCUCUGGUUAUAACCAUUUCCUCCACCAGCCUGGGUUGUCCCCUGGGAGGGGUGGGGGAAGCAGGCUGGACUCAGUGCUCUCUCUUGUCACUCAGAAACAGUUUCCAAAUUUAUUUCCCACUGUUUUAGGUGGACUAGCAUUUACAGAGGGGCUCGACUUUCUAAGACAACCUACUGGGCAAAGUAAAAGAACGUGUGGCACAAAUCACACACUUCUGUCACCCGCUGGAGCAGGGGCUACCCUUCCAGGAAGGCGUACCUGACCGCUCUUUCAAUCUCCUUGUCCCCUCUGUGCCACAUAAAGCUCCCUCGUUCCAGCUUCUUCAAAUUCCCUCCAAAAAUGGGUUCUCUUGCCCCUCUCCACAGCAGGCCAAAACAAGUGGCCCCAAGCCAAGACCAUCUGGGCACAGCACAAACGGCUGGCUUUUGUCCCCUUCUUCUUCCCGUCAUCCUCCCUUUUACUUCUCAGUAGAAUCUCCCAGGCCUCCAGGACUCGCCUUUCAUUCUCCAGCCUCCAGGUUUCUGCCCUGGUUCUCGCUGUGCCAGCUAGCCACAGAGAGCUCCUAGUGCGGAGUACAGCAUCAAGCUCAAGGGGCUUUGUGAUCACAUGCAGUUCUUCCUUGGAGACCGUGACCCUGGAGACCACGCCUCCCUUUGUGACUAUGCCCUCUGUCUAUCCUCUAGCCUCUCUGUCCAAUUUUCUGAUUGUCCCUUCCCAGUUCGCUUGUCUCUUCAGAGUUAGAUUUUAGUGUCCCCAGCAACGCCCCCGGCCCCCUGUGGAGAAUUCAGACCUGAGUUCAGAAUCUACUUCCACCAUUCAGCUUACUGCCAGUGCCGUAGUAGUUCCAGCAUUGGGGUGGCUGAGGCAGGAAGUGCAGGAGUUUGAGGUUGGCGCUAGGGAGAUGGUUCAGUUGGGAAGGUGUCUGACACACGGAGGACCUGAGUUUGGAACCUCGGUAUCCAUGUAAGAUGCCCGUACAAUAGGGCGCACUUGUGAGCCCCGUGCAGGGAGGCAGACAGAAGGAUUCUGGGGGCUGGCUGGUUGGUCAGCUAAUCAAGCUGAAAAGGGAAGAUUCGGGUUCAGUGAGGAGCCCUGUCUCAAAAUAGAGGACAGUUGAAGAAGACUUCUGAUGUUGACCUCUAACCUCUCCACACACAUGAACACAUGUACAUUUGUUUUUUGUUUGUGUGCUUGUUUGUUUCUAACAGACUUAAUUCAUUUAUUUUUCUUGUAUAAAAACCCUUUUGUGGUAGCCACAGCUCGAGCUGAACAGAGACUCUGGUGUGGGUUUUCACAAGAUGAUCAGUGAAUUCCUGAUAAGGAGACUUGGUGAACACAGAGGUCGGGGGUCAGAAGCUGUGAAGGCAUUUUUACAGCAGUGGUCUGCACACCUAUCUAGCUCUCCCCUUUGACCGUGACGUCCGUCCGGGAAGACUGAAACUGCAUUUGAUUUCUGCCUCCCCAUCUGCUUCGGAAGCAGGUACUGAGUACAUCAGAAACAAUAGCGUUAGCGCUCACGUUAGCGCUCAUCUUAAAAUAUCCUUUUAUUUGUUUUGUUUUGUUUUGUUUUGUUUUUGAGACAGGGUCUCACUGUGUAGCUCUGGCUGGCCUGGGAUUUGCUAUGUAGAUCUGAUAACCUCAAACUCAUACAGAUCGGCCUGCCUCUGCCUCCUGAGUGCUGGGAUUAAAGAGUGCUCUACCA